UGCCUUCCCCACCCCAGCAGUGGCCCCUCCCCAUCCCCUCCCUCUGUUCGUCCCGUUUGAUGAGAGGCUGUUUACUGGGGUGGGGUGGCGAGAUGGGCUUGAGGGGGCUCAGAGCAUAAGGCUUCAGGGCCCAAGUUGGGAGAAGUGACCAAAGUGUAGCCAGUUUUCUGAGUUCCCGUGUGCUAGACUGGCCAGAAGAGAGGGUCUGGGGCCUGGUCACUCGGCCACUCUCUCCUGUUUCUGGCCUCUUCUCCCUUCACUCCCGUCCAGUCUGGUUUUGAGAGCAGGGGCUGUUCUGCAGCACCGCAGGGAAGGGAGGAGAGAUACCUGCUGCUUCCAUUGCUUUUCCCUUCCUGGAGUCGAUGCCUUUCUAAGGGUUGGAGCUGCUCCUUGCAGGGGCGGGUCAGUUUCCCAGGCCAUGCCGGGGUGGCCAUCUAUGGUAGGGCUGGAAGCUGAGGCUGGCCGCCAGCUGUGGGCUGGGGUGGGGUGGGUGGGGUCGGGUGGUGGAGAGGCCUUAGCUGUCCUGGCUGGUGCCCCUCCCAGGCUCCUUUUCACCCUGCCCCCUGGGCCUGAGGCCCCCUGUGUCCAAGCCUCCCCCUGGCUCUUCAGUUCUCUAGCCCUUGGCUCUGC
rnacentral:lncRNA from 1 species